GUAUGAGUUUGGUGCAAAAGUAAUUGUGGUUUUUGUCAUUUCUUCCAAUGGCAAAAACUGCAAUCACUUUUGCAGCAACCUAAUA
ensembl:miRNA